AUGUGAGAAAUCGCGACGGGGGGAUCCCAAGUGCCAUUCUUAACGGGAUGGCUUUUCAUUAGUGUAAAGAGCUUUUGGAAUAAGGGCUGGGCAAGACCGGUGCCAGCCGCCGCGGUAACACCGGCAGCUCUAGUGGUAGCAGUUUUUAUUGGGCCUAAAGCGUCCGUAGCCGGUUUAAUAAGUCUCUGGUGAAAUCCUGUAGCUUAACUGUGGGAAUUGCUGGAGAUACUAUUAGACUUGAGACCGGGAGAGGUUAGAGGUACUCCCAGGGUAGAGGUGAAAUUCUGUAAUCCUGGGAGGACCGCCUGUUGCGAAGGCGUCUAACUGGAACGGUUCUGACGGUGAGGGACGAAAGUUAGGGGCGCGAACCGGAUUAGAUACCCGGGUAGUCCUAACUGUAAACGAUGCGGACUUGGUGUUGGGGUGGCUUUGAGCUGCUCCAGUGCCGAAGGGAAGCUGUUAAGUCCGCCGCCUGGGAAGUACGGUCGCAAGACUGAAACUUAA
rnacentral:rRNA from 1 species